UUAUAUAAUAAAAUAACAUUUUCUACUACCCAAAAACUACGAUGACAAUAAUGACACACAGCAUAUCUUUUUUUAACAGCCCAUUUCAUUUUAUUAUAUAAUAUAAUAUAUUUUAUUUUAUAUAAAAUUUAUUUGAAUAACCCUAACAUUACAUCAACACGAUUCUAAGGCAUUACUGAAUCAUUAUUUAUUUAAUAUUCACCUAUAAUCUACUUAGUUUCUACGUAAUAUUAAAAAAGAGUAAUAAAAAAUAAAUUAGUUUAUAUUAUUUUGUUUCCGUACAACGGAACUUUAGUCACUCCCGAUUAAGCUACGAUAUUCAAUCAAUGCAGGCUAUGGACAAAAAUAUCGACAUAUGUCAAAAAAUAUUUGUUUUUUGUUUUUGCCGGUCUUAGUUUUAUAGAAAUAAAAUUUAGGUGAAAAAUUGAGUUUAAUUGUUGAAAAAUGUUUGGCUGGUGGUAAAUAAAGUCGUUUUCUAUAAAAAUAUAGUGAUAUGUGAGUUCCAGAUUCUGUGUUGCGGAAAACUCCAGAAAAUUCUUAUGGAGAAUGAUCAUCAAACUGGUAGAAGUAGUUCUAUAACUGCAGCUAUUACUGGUACAUCAGCUUUUAUUUCUCCACUCCAUGAAGAUACACAACAGAACACAGGUUUUAUGACUGUAUUCCUUUUCGGACAAACUCAUAAAGAUCUUCAAACUGGUAGAUGUAGUUCUGGUAAACUGCAGCACUGGUACAACAGGUUCUUUUUCUCUACUCCAUGAAGGUACACAACAGAACACAGAUUUUUUUGGAUAGCAUUUCUUUUCAGACAAAGUCAUAAAGAUCAUCAAACUGUUAGAAAUAGUCGUAUAACUGCAACAAUUACUGGUACUGGUACAUCAGGUUCUUUUUCUCUACUUCAUGAAGAUACACAACAGAACACAGAUUUUUGGAUAGGUUGUAUUUUUUCCGGCCAAACUCUUCAAGGUACAAAUAAGAACUUCUUAUGAAGAUAACAAAGGAGAAGACACCAAGAAAAAUGGAAAGAAAUGAGAUUUUCUUUUGGGAAGAUGUGAACUUACGUAGAUUUUCUUAAGAAAACCUCAUCGAUUGUACUCUGCUUUUGAGUGAAAGUAUGUACCAGAAAAGAGUAAAGCUGGAGCAACAAGAUUGGAAUCCUGUUGAAAAAUAUAUCCGCGGGAUGGUUUCUGCUUUUAAUUGUUGUUCUACAUUGUUAGGAAAUGUAUUAUUGUUAUGAGGAGAUGCCGUGGUAUGAGAUUAUAUCAAACUGGUAAGAAUAUUUCUACAACUGCAGCUAAUACUAGUACUGGUUUACUCUGGGGUACUGGUAUAUGAACUUCUACUCCUCUACCAUGAAGAGAUGAUGAUCUCCAUGAAGAUAUACAACAGAACACAUAUCCUGGAUAAUAUUCCAUUGCCACCCUUUUUUUUAUUGUAAAAGUAAAAUUUAAUGAGUAUAAUUUCUAUUUUUUUUUAUAAUUGUAUACAUUA